GACGAACGCUGGCGGCGUGCCUAAUACAUGCAAGUCGAGCGCAGGAAACUGACGGAACUCUUCGGAGGGAAGGCAGUGGAAUGAGCGGCGGACGGGUGAGUAACACGUAAGGAACCUGCCUCAAGGAUUGGGAUAACUCCGAGAAAUCGGAGCUAAUACCGGAUAGUUCAACGGACCGCAUGGUCCGCUGAUGAAAGGCGCUCCGGCGUCACCUUGAGAUGGCCUUGCGGUGCAUUAGCUAGUUGGUGGGGUAACGGCCCACCAAGGCGACGAUGCAUAGCCGACCUGAGAGGGUGAUCGGCCACACUGGGACUGAGACACGGCCCAGACUCCUACGGGAGGCAGCAGUAGGGAAUCUUCCACAAUGGACGAAAGUCUGAUGGAGCAACGCUGCGUGAGUGAUGAAGGUUUUCGGAUCGUAAAACUCUGUUGUAAGGGAAGAACACGUACGAGAGGAAAUGCUCGUACCUUGACGGUACCUUACGAGAAAGCCACGGCUAACUACGUGCCAGCAGCCGCCGUAAGAC
rnacentral:rRNA from 1 species